rnacentral:misc_RNA from 1 species
UAGGCGUAUAGGAGCCGCUGG